UAUGUUGCCUGAUAUCAGGUCCAAUUGAGAUGCAUACCGAAGUACACAUUAAGUUCCCAAAUGGAUCGACCCUCGACAACCGAAGCUGCCACCCUACUUCGCAACAGCAAAGCCAAUUCAAAAGCCAAGCCACCGAGCUAUGGUUCACCAGUCCAUCACGCCACAGCAGGAAAAACGUCCAAUAAGUGCAUUGUUCAGCCGAAGCCAACCAUACCACGAAUCGAACACUCUUCCAUUAAUGCCGCAGCAGACAAACCAGUCGCCAAUUUGCCACAAUAGCAGCCUUCACAACCAGCAACGCCACCACUUUUCGAGCAAAGAGAAGUUCAGUUUAGUACAUUUAAAAGGACUCGCAGCCGGUCCGAAGACCAAUCGCAAGACACUUCACAUCUGACAUCUCCUCCACCGACUACACGGAAGGAAGAAAGUCAAGUUUAAUGUACGGACACUGAUACAGGCAUACUUCCAGGACUAACCCGGAAGUGCAAUAUGCGUUCAAAAUUUCGAUGACUCACUGAAUCCUGCAAUUCGCAUUACGUAUCGCAGUUCGCAGCGUUCUUCAUCGAUGUGCGAGCCUAGACAUCCACUGGUGAAAGUUGCUAUCUAGUUAAAAGCAGAGACUUUCGUCCCCACAGUAUAUUCAGUAUUAAAGGAAUGGGUUUAAAAGAAAAAAAGACUCUAAAUAGGCCGAAGCCCAAACCGUCGCUUUUUUUGAUAGGGUCCUCAGCAGCAGCCGCCACAAUAAGCAGAGACGCGCCAAUAAACCCAAUUUGGGUGAACGGUACUGGAAGGUUUUAGGUGGGAAGACUUCCGGUUCCUCGGAACUUUUUAUUUUUUUU
rnacentral:rRNA from 1 species